rnacentral:rRNA from 1 species
UGGGGAAUAUUGGACAAUGGGGGCAACCCUGAUCCAGCCAUGCCGCGUGUGUGAAGAAGGCCUUUUGGUUGUAAAGCACUUUAAGCAGGGAGGAGAGGCUAAUGGUUAAUACCCAUUAGAUUAGACGUUACCUGCAGAAUAAGCACCGGCUAACUCUGUGCCAGCAGCCGCGGUAAUACAGAGGGUGCGAGCGUUAAUCGGAAUUACUGGGCGUAAAGCGAGUGUAGGUGGCUCAUUAAGUCACAUGUGAAAUCCCCGGGGCUUAACCUGGGAACUGCAUGUGAUACUGGUGGUGCUAGAAUAUGUGAGAGGGAAGUAGAAUUCCCAGGUGUAGCCGGUGAAAUGCGUAGAGAUCUGGAGGAAUACCGAUGGCGAAGGCAGCUUCCUGGCAUAAUAUUGACACUGAGGAUUCGAAAGCGUGGGUAGCAAAACAGGAUUAGNUACCCUGGUAGUCCACGCCGUAAACGAUGUCUACUAGCCGUUGGGGUCCUUGAGACUUUAGUGGCGCAGUU